AUUGAACGCUGGCGGCAGGCUUAACACAUGCAAGCCGAACGGGCGUAGCAAUACGUCAGUGGCAGACGGGUGAGGAACACGUGGGAAUAUCCCCUUCAGUUCGGAAUAACUCAGGGAAACUUGAGCUAAUACCGGAUACGUCAGAGAUGAGAAAGAUUUAUCGCUGAAGGAUUAGCCCGCGUCUGAUUAGCUAGUUGGUGAGGUAAUGGCUCACCAAGGCUACGAUCAGUAGCUGAUCUGAGAGGAUGAUCAGCCACAUUGGGACUUAGACACGACCCACAGUCCUGAGGGAGGCAGCAGUGAGGAAUAUUGGACAAUGUGCGCAAGCCUGAACCAGCCAUGCCGCGGGAGUCAUGAAGGCAUUCGGGUUGUAAAGCUCUUUUGUCCGGGAAGAUAAUGACGGUACCGGAAGAAUAAGCCCCGGCAAACUUCGUGCCAGCAGCCGCAGUAA
rnacentral:rRNA from 1 species